rnacentral:rRNA from 1 species
CAGAGGGUGCAAGCGUUGUUCGGAUUAUUGGGCGUAAAGCGCGUGUAGGCGGCUUUGCAAGUCGGGUGUGAAAUCCCUCAGCUUAACUGAGGAAGUGCGCCCGAAACUGCCGAGCUUGAAUACCGGAGAGGACGGCGGAAUUCCCCAAGUAGAGGUGAAAUUCGUAGAUAUGGGGAGGAACACCGGUGGCGAAGGCGGCCAUCUGGACGGCUAUUGACGCUGAGACGCGAAAGCAUGGGGAGCAAACAGGAUUAGAUACCCUGGUAGUCCAUGCCGUAAACGAUGAGAACUAGGUGUUGUGGGUGUUGACCCCCGCGGUGCCGUAGCUAACGCAUUAAGUUCUCCGCCUGGGAAGUACGGCCGCAAGGCUA